rnacentral:rRNA from 1 species
UACGGAGGAUGCGAGCGUUAUCCGGAUUUAUUGGGUUUAAAGGGUGCGUAGGCGGGAUGCCAAGUCAGCGGUAAAAAUGCGGUGCUCAACGCCGUCGAGCCGUUGAAACUGGCGUUCUUGAGUGGGCGAGAAGUAUGCGGAAUGCGCGGUGUAGCGGUGAAAUGCAUUGAUAUCACGCAGAACUCCGAUUGCGAAGGCAGCAUACCGGCGCCCUACUGACGCUGAGGCACGAAAGCGUGGGUAUCGAACAGG